UACAGAGGGUGCGAGCGUUGUCCGGAAUCACUGGGCGUAAAGGGCGCGUAGGCGGCUUGAUAAGCGUGCGGUGAAAGCCCGGGGCUCAACCCCGGGUCGGCCGUGCGAACUGUCGAGCUGGAGCACUGUAGAGGCAGGUGGAAUUCCGGGUGUAGCGGUGGAAUGCGUAGAGAUCCGGAAGAACACCGGUGGCGAAGGCGGGUCUCUGGGCCGAUACUGACGCUGAGGAGCGAAAGCGUGGGGAGCGAACAGG
rnacentral:rRNA from 1 species